GGUUACUUGGCGGAGUGGUUAACGCGUUGGAUUUGAACACCAACAUCCAAUCUGAUUUUCAGGCCUAGGUUCGAACCCUAGAGUAACCG